UACAGAGGGGGCAAGCGUUGUUCGGAAUUACUGGGCGUAAAGGGCGCGUAGGCGGCCUGUUAAGUCGGACGUGAAAUCCCCGGGCUCAACCCGGGAACUGCGUCCGAUACUGGCAGGCUUGAAUCCGGGAGAGGGAUGCGGAAUUCCAGGUGUAGCGGUGAAAUGCGUAGAGAUCGGGAAGAACAUCGGUGGCGAAGGCGCUCUACUGGACCACAACUGACACUCAGGGACGAAAGCUAGGGGAGCGAAUGGG
rnacentral:rRNA from 1 species